GGGGGUUUACGAGGCAUUUGUAUUGACAUGUAUAUCAUGCAUCACAUUCCCAAGUUUACCAAGAUGAGCUUUGACCUUUCUAAGCGAGGCAUUUGACAAGAGAAUCCGAGACCUAGAGUAUCAUGCACCGUACUUUCCCCAUGUAUGAACGUACUAACUAUUGAAAUUAGCUUGCAGUCUGGUUUUUAACCAAGGAAAAUGUUUGAACGAUCUGGGACUAGGACCAAGUAUCAUGCACCUCACUCUGUCCCUAUCACAAGUUUAUUAUGAUAGCUUACAAUGGGGUUUUAAUUGAGGCAUUUGUAUAGAAAACCGGGGACCAAGUAUCAUAUACCACACUCUUUUUCAUUUAUAAAAGCUUAUUGAAUUUAGCUUGCAAUGUGGUUUUAAACCAAGGAAAUUCUUUGAACAACCAGGAUUAAGACCAAUUAUCAUGCACCACGCUCUGUCCCAAUCAUAAACUUAUGAUGAGUUUCUAACCGAGGCAUUUGUAUAGAUGGACAAUCCAGGACCAAGUAUCAUGAACCACACCC
rnacentral:lncRNA from 1 species